UACGGGGGGGGCAAGCGUUGUUCGGAAUUACUGGGCGUAAAGGCGCUUGUAGGUGGUCUUGUAAGUUGGGCGUGAAAAGCCUCCGGGCUUAACCCGGAGAGGCCGUCCAAUACUGCGAGGCUGGAGGAUGUCAGAGGAAGGUGGAAUUCCUGGUGUAGUGGUGAAAUGCGUAGAUAUCAAGGAGGAACACCCCGUGGGCGAAGGCGGCCUUCUGGGGGCGAUU
rnacentral:rRNA from 1 species